ensembl:lncRNA
UUUCAGAUGGCUAAGUCCUAUUACAAUUUCAUUCAAUAAAUAUUUAUUACCAUGAUCCCUAUAAUUUACUGGAUAUUGAGAAUGCAAUGGUCAAUGAAAACAGUCACCACUCUAAAGCAAGUUGCAUUCAGAGGAUGGUGCUAUAUGAACACGAUGUCUCCGCCUUCAAUGCACUCAAACUCCACUCCAGCUUCCAAUACUCCUUCCUCUGAGCUUAAAAACGGUUGUCAGGUGCAAAGCCUUCGACUUACCUGGAUUCUAAAGUGGGUACAGGAUGGGUCCUCCUUUGGCCAACAGAGUCUAAAGACCGGUAGCGGAGAGGCCUGAGGCAAGAAUCUGAGCCCUGGAAUUACUGGUGAGACUUUGGCCUUUGGAGAGCCUUGGUCCUCCUGUAGGAACUCCUGGUCGGCUUGGUCCUGGAAUAGCUAUUAUGGAUACACACAUGAGGGAUGCUCCUGUGGGCAGAAUAGCAUGUCUUCUUGCUGUGGGCAAAGACCACCUGGAUUUAAGUCCUGACUCCAUUGCUUCAUAAUUGUAAAAGCUUGGGCAAGUUUCUUAACACUUCUUUUAUACAACGGAGAUAACAGUGUAUAAAUCAAAGGCCACACAUUUAACUACUGAGCGCACACACCACAGCUACUGAGCUAUAGCUGUGAAUAGCUAUUCCUAUUAUAAUAGGAAUCCUUGAUUUUCACAAAUUGCUUAGACCAGCACCUGAGGAGAAGGCAAUGGCACCCCACUCCAGUACUCUUGCCUGGAAAAUCCCAUGGACGGAGGAGCCUGGUAGGCUGCAGUCCGUGGGGUCUUUAAAAGUUGGACACGACUGAGCGACUUCACUUUCACUUUUCACUUUCAUGCAUUGGAGAAGGAAAUGGAAGCCCACUCCAAUGUUCUUGCCUGGAGAAUCCCAGGGACAGGGGAGCCUGGUGGGCUGCUGUCUAUGGGGUCACACAGAGUCGGACACGACUGAAGCGACUUAGCAGCAGCAGCAGCAGCACCUGAAACAACAUGGUCAAAAACGUUGACUUUCUACCUCUUCAGCCUGACUCGAAUUCUGUAGCUGAUAACAGAAAGGAAAGAGGUUUUCUUAGAAAGAAGCCAUGCUGGUCUAGCCUCAGUUCACAGGAGUGUAUAACAUCGUGUCUCCCAUCACAAGACCCCCAUCAGCCUGAGCCCUGAAGGCAAGAAAAGAGAUGAUCCGUCACCAGAGGGAGGGGGAACAGGCAUGGCCUGUGCUUCCCAACAAAACAGCCAUUCCCGGGAAUAAGAGCUUCUCAUGGGGACAGGACACACAUUUAACUGUAUUAACAACAAAGCAGGGCUUCCCCGGCAGCCUAGUUUAAGAAUCCCCCGGCCAAUGCAGGGGACAGGGGUUCAAUCUCUGAUCUGGAAAGAUCCCACAAGGAGUGGAGCAGCUGAGCCUGUGCAUCACAAGUACUGAGCCAAUGUUCUAGAGACCACGAGCCACAGCUACUAAGCACACACACCGCAGCUACUGAGCACACAGACCACAGCUACUGAGCUCACACCACAGGUACUGAGCUCACAGACCACAGGUACUGAGCUCACACAUCACAGGUACUGAGCUCACACACCACAGGUACUGAGCUCACACACCACAGGUACUGAGCGCACACACCACAGCUACUGAGCGCACACACCGCAGCUACUGAGUGCACAUAUCACAGCUACUGAGCGCACACACCACAGCUACUGAGCACACACACCACAGCUAUUGAGCACACAUUCCACAGCUACUGAGCUCACACACUGCAGCUACUGAGUGCACACACCACAUGACUGAAGUGUGCACACCACAGCUACUGAGCACACACACAGCAGGUACUGAGC